CUUUUACCCCUUAAACAUCUUUGAUUCUCCUUCUCUCUCUUCUUUCUCUCCCUUUUCUCCCUUCUCUCACCCUCUCCUUCCCUCUCCUCCCCCUUCCCUUUCUCAACCGGUAGUCAUGCUCAUUAUGAGUUCAAGGUGUUCAUGUCUGACUGUGGCUAUGCUAUUAGAGCAGCUAGCCAGCCAGUCAGCCAGUCAGCCAGCCAGUCAAUCAGUCAGCCAGUCAGUUGGUUGAUCAGCCGCUGAGUCAGCCAGUCAGUCAGUCAGUUGGUCAGCCAGCCAGCCAGUCAGUCAGUUGGUCAGUCAGCCAGCCAGUCAGUCAGUCAGUUGGUCAGCCAGUCGGUCAGUCUGUUAGUCAGUCAGUCGGUCGGUCAGUUGGUCAGUCAGCCACUCAGUUGGUCAGCCAGUCGGUCAGUCAUUCACUCAGCCAGUCAGUCAGUCAGUCAGUCAACCAGUAUGUGAAGUGGUGACAACCUGUCCUUGUUUAAAUUGGGAUUCUACAUAGGUGUCUAGAUCUGUCUCUUUCCCACUAUCUCCUAUUUGACACAUUCAUCCUCCACUCCCACUGUGUAGCCAUCCGCCUGUUCGCAACUCACUAUUCUUGCCCAAUUUACCUUCCUGUGACCACUAUCUGUGUGAUAGCUCUGAGACAGUUUGUGUGUGUGUGUCAAGGUUCCAUUGGGGUCUGUCUUGACCUAUCUCUGCGCUCUGUUGGUUUUCCAGACGUUCCGUCUGAGAGAAUGUGAGUGCUUGUUCCCCAUAGAUAGUCUGACACACACAUGCACGCUGUAAAAACAUUGCUAUAAGAAUGUAUUAAAUCUAUUAUCUCUUUGAAGAAAGAACAGUUCUAUUUCUAUGUCUUUACUUUGUGAAUGUGUCUGUGCGUCAGACAGUGUGUUUGUGCCGGCAUUGUGUCUUCGUACUGUAUGUGUGCAUCGGUGGCGGUCGGUGCCGUUUAAGAUUAGGGAGGACUAUGUCUUUUUUUUAUGAGCUUGGCCUUACUUCCAUUACAGAAUAUUGGAUGACUGUCAAUUAUAUUCCAUUCAACCGGCUCAAUGUAACAUCAAUAGGUUUAGGCUACUACAUGAUACUAAUUUUCCCUUUACCCAUCAUAAGGUUGCUACAACCAAGCUUACAAAUUAAUGUUUAUAAUGUAGGUCGAGAGACAAAUUGGAGUGUCACGUUUGCUCCUGCUCCUCACCUUCGGCGUACGACGUCACCAGAGUACUAACCACCGGUCCUGGGAUUCAUCAUUACGCAUACCUGUGAAUCAUUAUGAUUCACACCUGGACUCCAUUACCUUCAUAAUUUUCUCCCCUUUAUAUGUCACUCUCCCAUAUUCACCUACUAGUUGGUAUUGUUCUUGUGUAUCGGCGUACUGCCUUAUGUUAGUGUUAUUUUCCUGGUUUUGUUGUUUUAUUGAAACGUUUCACCUGCACCUGCUUCGAACUCAUCGCCCCAUUAUUACAGAUACCAACUCAAAAUAUGGAAGCAGCAGGACAACCGGACAUCUCCCAGACGAUCAAUGAACAAGGUGACCUUCUUCGUCAACUCCAUGAUCAGCUGGCUCAACUGGGGACGGCCAUGGAAGAGUUUCUCCGCAGUCUACAACAUCUCAACAGUGGAGGAUAUUCUAGAGCCACUCUACCCAACGAGUCAGCACACCAGCCCAUUCAGCAACCCGCUCAGGUCAGCGAUGCCCGUCUAUCCCUCCUGGAGAAAUAUGACGGGACACCAUUCAAAUGCCGUGGCUUCCCCCUUCAGUGCUCCCUCUAUUUCGCACAUCAGAUGGGAGCUCCCACCACAGAGAGGUCUAAGGUUGCCAUGGAUAUUUCUCUGCUGACUGGGCGGGCAUUGGAAUGGGCUACGGCUGUCUGGGAGAGGAUCUACAUCACUCCGGUUGCGUCGGCAUCUACAUCACUUCUCUCCCUCCUUCGGCGAGUGUUCGGGAUCAGAGCCUGAGUCCAUGGAGGUAGGGGUCACACGCCUUCCCGCGGCGGAACGACAUAGACGGAUGCAGCUGGGGAUCUGUCUGUACUGUGGCCAGGGAGGGCACAAUCGCCAGCGGUGUCCAUUACUUCAGAAUCCAGGAUCCACUAGAGCAGAGGGACGGUCACGUGAUGUUACAUCCCCUGGACCAGAAGUGAGUAUUCCAUUUACUGCUCUUCCUGUCAUUCUUUUUAGUACCCAUCACUCUGGCUGACUGUCCCUCAUGCCAUGUGUCUACAGCUUUAGUGGAUUCUGGCGCCGCUGGGAACAUUAUGGAUCAGACCCUUGCCUCCUCUCUCAAUAUUACUACCUACCCACUCUCCUCUCCUUUUCUGGUUCAAAAAUAGGCUAAUCCUGACAUGACCCUCCAGCAUUACAAUGCCACCAGCCGUACUGCUCGUUCUGUGUGUGAUUUCCUGCAAGACAGGAAUAUCAUUGCUCUGCCAUGGCCAGCGAAGAUCCCGGAUCUCAAUCCCAUUGAGCACGUCUGGGACCUGUUGGAUCGGAGGGUGAGGGCCAGGGCCAUUCCCCCCAGAAAUGUUCAGGAACUUGGUGGUGCCUUGGUGGAAGAGUGGGGUAACAUCUCACAGCAAGAACUGGCAAAUCUGGUGCAGUCCAUGAGGAGGAGAUGCACUGCAGUACUUAAUGUACCUGGUGGCCAGACCAGAUACUGAAUGUUACUUUUGAUUUUGACCCCCCCCCCCUUUGUUCAGGAACACAUUAUUCCAUUUCUGUUAGUCACAUGUCUGUGGAACUUGUUCAGUUUAUGUCUCAGUUGUUGAAUCUUGUUCUGUUCAUACAAAUAUUUACACAUGUUAAUUAAGUUUGCUGAAAAUAAACGCAGUUGACAUUGAGAGGACGUUUCUUUUUUUGCUGAGUUUAGUUACAAAGUAGCUAAAAAGUAGUCAAUUGUAGGAAAGUUGUCCGUGAUGAUAUUCGAACACGCAACCUUUGGGUUACUAGACAUUCUUGUUAUAUGCCCAACCAUCCUCCUUUCGUUUUUUUAACUUAAAGAAGCAAUAUGUAACUUUUUUGGGCAUCCCAACAAAAUUCUCAAAGAAAUGUGACAGAUCUGUCAUUCUCAUUGGAAGUAUAAAGUGGUAGAUCUGUUCUAUGUGCUAUAUUUCUAUGUUACCCAUGCUUACGUUUCAUUUUUGCAUCUUUUACUUUUGGUUUUGUACACCAGUUUAUAACAGCUGAAAAUACUAUAUUUUUGGUUAUGGAAAAUAUCUUUCACAGCAGUUUAGAUGGUACAAUGACUCUCUACACUGCACUUUCUUGUAUUGUGACAUAAACUGAAAUUAGGUGAACAAUUCAAGUUUUAGCAACCAGGAAAUGACGGAGCCUUCUGUCUUGUAACGUUUACUAUGUUACAUCUAGUCUAUGAGACCAGGCUGGAGGUAGGCCUGCGUCUGUUUGUAUGUGUGAGUCUGUGUGUAUAAAAGAAAAAGUGUGUGUGUGUCGUUGUUGUAUUUAUUUGUUGCUCUCCUCAUUCUGUGGCACUGGCAGGGUAUUCAGUGUGUGUGCAUGUGUGUGUCUGUAUCUGCUUAUGUGUGUGCUGAUCUUAUUGUGCAGUCUGGCAUUUGGCAGGUCCAUUUGAUUCUUGGCAGGUAGAUCAGAGCUCCUCUCUGCCCAGCCGAAGCAAAGGAUUACAGAGAAGAGAGAGAGAUAGAGAGGGAGAGAGAUAUGAGAGAGAGACAGAGAGAGGGAGAGACUUCCCGAGGCAGCCCCAUUCAGCCCUAUUCAUCCGCCCCUGGGAACAGUAUCAACGUAUACACUGACUCUGUGAUCAUCAGGAAGUGCAUAGAGGAUGUUGUAUCGGUCCCAGGUUCAAAUGUUUAAAUCUGCAAUGCGUAACAAUGUGUGUACAGGUGUUUUUAGAGACCCCUCUGUCAAGAAUGCUGUAUUUCUUCUACAUUUGAACAUGAUAUGCCAGAAACCCCAGCUCUCAUUGCAAGUCGCCGCUGGGACGACGUAGCAUCAACAUCCGCUCGGAGACUUUGUGGCUGUGGUAGUGACAACCCAACGGAGUCGGGAAAUGUGAGGCUGUGGAUGUCGAUGCAAUUACAGUUAUGGACAAGAUUGAUGAUAACUCAAUACCAUUUUAGCAACACUGUCUUCAGAACAGGAGUCCAGCCUUGAAGAGCCGCGGGCCGUCCAGGGGCAGGACUACAGAAAGAACUGGACAGGAAGACCUUGAAGAGCCGCGGGCCGUCCAGGGGCAGGACUACAGAAAGAACUGGACAGGAAGACCUUGAAGAGCCGCGGGCCGUCCAGGGGCAGGACUACAGAAAGAACUGGACAGGAAGACUUUGAAGAGCCGCGGGCCGUCCAGGGGCAGGACUACAGAAAGAACUGGACAGGAAGACCUUGAAGAGCCGCGGGCCGUCCAGGGGCAGGACUACAGAAAGAACUGGACAGGAAGACCUUGAAGAGCCGCGGGCCGUCCAGGGGCAGGACUACAGAAAGAACUGGACAGGAAGACCUUGAAGAGCCGCGGGCCGUCCAGGGGCAGGACUACAGAAAGAACUGGACAGGAAGACCUUGAAGAGCCGCGGGCCGUCCAGGGGCAGGACUACAGAAAGAACUGGACAGGAAGACCUUGAAGAGCCGCGGGCCGUCCAGGGGCAGGACUACAGAAAGAAUUGGACAGGAAGACCUUGAAGAGCCGCGGGCCGUCCAGGGGCAGGACUACAGAAAAAACUGGACAGGAAGACCUUGAAAGGGCUGCCCGAGAAGAAGACUAAAUUGCAAGAGCUUUCCGCUUCCCUUCUACCUGGAGUGAUUUUUGACAUCAUGGUGUACCGGAGAGCUAUCCCAGGGUCUCCAGAAAUCCAAGACAACCUCACAACCUUACACCACACAACUGCUGCCAUUUCACCACUGCAAUAUUCAAUUUAUUUAUUACCAAGUAUGUUACCAUAACAAGAUAACACUUCCAUGACUACACCGUACUUUAUUCUUAAUUUGGAUCUAAAUUAAGAAAAUAUGGUAAUAUCUUUAAGUAGUUUUGUGAAUUUUUCCUUGGUCUGGGUGAAAUCAGUUCAAUACUUUACCAGUUCACUACAUUGUUUCCCUUGUAUUCUUGUUUAUCUACCUAAUAAAUCUUUAUUUGACCUGA